CGGGAGGAACCUUUUAAUGCAACCAGCACGCUUUAUAGCAGAAAUCAGAAUCUUUUGUUCGUGGACUUGCUUAGAUGAAACAGCAGAAAUCACGAUCUCAACUUGCUUGAGUGCUUCAAGCAGGAUAUCUUCAUCUUGCAAUGAACCCUUGAUUACUGUGAGGCCCGCUUCGGUAAGGGUAUGAAUCUUUUGGGAUUUAUGAGUGUCAGAGAAUGCUGAAUCUCUAACAAGUCCGAAUGUGGGAUGAGAGGAAUUGAGACUGGCCUUUG
rnacentral:misc_RNA from 1 species